rnacentral:rRNA from 1 species
AGCAGCCGCGGUAAUUCCAGCUCCAAUAGCGUAUAUUAAAGUUGUUGCAGUUAAAAAGCUCGUAGUUGAAUUUCGGGAUCAGUAGGUUGGUCAUGCCUCUGGUAUGUACUGGUCUCACUGGUUCCUCCUUCCUGAUGAACCGUAAUGCCAUUAAUUUGGUGUUGCGGGGAAACUGGACUGUUACUUUGAAAAAUUAGAGUGUUUAAAGCAGGCUAACGCUUGAAUACAUUAGCAUGGAAUAAUGAAAUAGGACGUUCGAUCCUAUUUUGUUGGUUUCUAGGAUUGACGUAAUGAUUAAUAGGGAUAGUUGGGGGCAUUAGUAUUCAAUUGUCAGAGGUGAAAUUCUUGGAUUUAUUGAAGACUAACUACUGCGAAAGCAUUUGCCAAGGAUGUUUUCAUUAAUCAAGAACGAAAGUUAGGGGAUCGAAGACGAUCAGAUACCGUCGUAGUCUUAACCAUAAACUAUGCCGACUAGGGAUCGGAUGAU